rnacentral:rRNA from 1 species
UACGUAGGGUGCGAGCGUUGUCCGGAAUUAUUGGGCGUAAAGGGCUCGUAGGCGGUUUGUCGCGUCGGGGGUGAAAACCAGGUGCUUAACACCUGGCUUGCUUUCGAUACGGGCAGACUAGAGGUAUUCAGGGGAGAACGGAAUUCCUGGUGUAGCGGUGAAAUGCGCAGAUAUCAGGAGGAACACCGGUGGCGAAGGCGGUUCUCUGGGAAUAUCCUGACGCUGAGGAGCGAAAGUGUGGGGAGCGAACAGG